UGAGGAUAGGGAUGGAGCCACAAGAACUUUAUCUAGAUCCAUAGACCUUGUCAAUCUCACUGGACCUUCACCAGUUACCUGUGCCACAUCACCAUUUGUAGUGUGUAUUUUUUUGUUGUUUUGGAACAUGUGAAGUGGCUAACUUAGACAAAUCGUUAACCAUGUGAUCAGUGGCCCCUGUAUCUAUAAUCCAAGUAUCAUUCUUUGUAAAAUUAUGUAGGUACAUACCAGUGGAUGUGUGAGCAGCAAUUGGGAUAUUCAUUUCAUUGGCAGUGGUUAUAGUGGCUAUCAUAGCUCGACUGAUUUUCUUCCUUGGCUUCUUUGUAAAGUCCCACCAAUCUGGGUAACCGAUAAUCUCGUAGCAUUUGAGUUUAGAAUGUCCAUCUUCAGCAUAGUGGGUACAUGAGAAUGUGUUUUUGUUGUUCGAGGUUCUUCCUUUUUUAGGCCGAUUUCGAGUAGCCAUAUGAACCAUACCAUCAGGUUCAGUACUUCACUUCGUGCCUGGUUGAAUUCUGAGUCUAAUCCUGCCAGAAAAAUAUGGACCCAGAAUCGUGACAUGGCUUUAUUUGCAGAGACAGCUUCAUCCACAAUUUCUUUCUGAGUAGUUAAACGAGCAUCAAUUUCUUGAAAGAUGCUUAUGAGUUCGUUGUUGUAUGUUGCCAAGGAUGUCCAGUUUGCCACGUGUUGAAUGAUUUCCUGUUCAAUUCAAACAAUUGAGUUUCAUCAGACCUAUCGUAAAAAGUUUGGGAUACAGCUUCCCAAAUUUCUGCUGCAAUCUGGAGGCGUAUGAAUCGGUGAAUGAGUGAUGGGGACAUCGAAUCAAUCAACUAGCUUUUGACUUUGUUAUUUUCGAUCAGCCAGGUUUCAAUCUCCUUUUCUCCUUCUGUGGGUUUCGUUGUUUUGCCCGUGAUGUAGCCAGAUUUGUUUCGAGCUCCAAUUCUCAUCUCCAUUAAUUGCGACCAUAGGUGAAAAUUCGAGUAAUCGAGAAUAACUCCUCCAGUGGGAAACGGUGCAUCAGUGUGAACGAUGACUUGAGGAGAGUUUGAAGUUCCUGCUUUGUCACUCAUAUUCUACGAAUUCGAUAUGGUUUCGAGGGUUUCAAUAGAUUGUUUGAAUGGAUUAGGUAUGCUCUGAUACCAUGUGAAAAAAGAAUACGAGAGAUUGGUGGAAGAGUUUUCCGUUUUUCAUAUAUUCUAAUUAAGUUAUAGGAGAACAUAUUUAUACAAGAGAUUUCUACCAAACUAUCAAUUACUUAGCCAUAACUCAAGGAUGUGAGACAACGACAACAACAAUUAUCUACACAUGUAUUACUUAUCUUCUCCUAUAAUUGCUCUCGCCAACAGCUAUAACAGGUAAGUGUUUAUGGUGGGUGUUUAGAGGUCCGAUGAAGGUUACGAUGAUGGUGAUAUAAGUGUUGACUGGUGGUUUAUAAUGAAACAAAAGGUGUUAAAGGGUGGUUAGUUCAGUAAACAAGGUUGAUAUAAGGUGGGUAAAAUGGAGGUAUAAGGUGUUGAGGUUUAUGAGGAAGACGAUGAAUAGUACUGGGUGUUACAUUUUCUUAAUGCAGGAGGUUUUAAGGUGGUUUGAUGGAAGUGGUUUACGUGUUCUUGGUGAUAACAGGUAAAGUCUUUGUGGGUUUGAAGUAAUAUAAGGUGUAAGGUGGUUGUGAUGAGGUUUUAAGAAGAAGAUGAUGAAUAGUACUGGUUGUUCAAUUUGUUUGUUCCAAAAACCAUCAUUAUCGAGACCUUAAGCCAUUUGCUGCUCCGUUUUCAAUUUCCAACAUCCACCAUUGAGAUUGAAAGAAGAAGAAUCAAGAAGUAAGGACAAUGUUCAUCGUCCAAUCGAGAACCUGCAACCGAACAAAAAAUCUCGAUUUUUUUUUUGAGUUUUUUCCUUCAAUGUUUUGUAUCUACUUCCAUCGCUAAAAAUAUGUGUUUAUCGAUAGCCUCAAAGAAAAAACACAGUUUGAAUUUUUCUUGUUCUCCUUUUCUUGAUUCUCGAUGAAGGUGGUGGUGGUUUGUUUUAGAUGGCAGAAGGUGGUAGAGACGGUGGCUUCGAUGGCAGCAAUAUGUGGGUUCAAUGGUGGUGAACCGGUGGUGAGGUGGGUACGGUUUUAAUGGUGAUGGCAAGUUCGAUCGGUAGAGAUGGAACAGGUCUCGGGUCUCGGCUGUGAAGACAAAGCAGCAGGUGAAGAUCUUGGGUUGGAUUGAAACGAAGAAGGCAAUAGAAAUAAGUUUACUUGUUUAUUUUUCUUUCUUUUGUUCUGGUUAGUUGCAGGUCUAGACAAAGAUGAUGAUGAACAGUUAUAGUUCUACAUAUUAAAUUAAUCAAAAUGGAAUAGUGAAAAAAAUA